rnacentral:rRNA from 1 species
AUUGAACGCUGGCGGCAGGCUUAACACAUGCAAGUCGAACGAUGACUCUCUAGCUUGCUAGAGAAGAUUAGUGGCGGACGGGUGAGUAACAUUUAGGAAUCUGCCUAGUAGUGGGGGAUAGCUCGGGGAAACUCGAAUUAAUACCGCAUACGACCUACGGGUGAAAGGGGGCGCAAGCUCUUGCUAUUAGAUGAGCCUAAAUCAGAUUAGCUAGUUGGUGGGGUAAGGGCCCACCAAGGCGACGAUCUGUAACUGGUCUGAGAGGAUGAUCAGUCACACCGGAACGGAGACACGGUCCGGACUCCUACGGGAGGCAGCAGUGGGGAAUAUUGGACAAUGGGGCAACCCUGAUCCAGCCAUGCCGCGUGUGUGAAGAAGGCCUUUUGGUUGUAAAGCACUUUAAGCAGGGAGGAGAGGCUAAUGGUUAGUACCCAUUAGAUUAGACGUUACCUGCAGAAUAAGCACCGGCUAACUCUGUGCCAGCAGCCGCAGUAACAC